GUAAGCGGUUAUAGGAAAUCGUUAGUGUCUGAAGGCAAUGGAAAGCUGCAGCUGUCGGUCCGUGACCACGACAGCGCUGGGUCCACUCCAGUCCACUGCAGCCCGCAGAGGCUCCUCUGCAAUGCUAGGUAAUCUCAGAACUCCUGAGCGGGAUCUGGGUUCUCCCAUGGAACCAGUUCCCUUGCUCUGAUGAUCAGGAAAAAGGUCAAGAGAUUAUAAAACCAGAGACUCUAUUAUCACACUGGUGACUGACUACCUGCAAAACAAAAUCAACAUAGACCCACUCAUAACACAUAAAUUGCGUUUUGAAAGGAUCAAUGAGGCAUUUGAAUUGCUCCAAGGUGGAAAAUGCUUACCAUUGGAUAUUUCACAAGUAUUUCUAGUCACCAAACAUUCAUUAAGUGACUAAUGGCAACACUGUGCUGGUCUCACUGCAGAAACAGAAUUGAAUGUAAACACUGUCUUCAGGUCACUCGUGGUCCUGGACUGGAGCGUAAGGCACUGCAGACAUAAGUAACCCCAAUUUAGGGCUGGCUAUGAUGUCUGGUCAGAAGACCCCAGACUCCGCCUGCAAGGCCUGGGGAGCUCCUUUCUCACUGGGAGGUGGGGAAGCCUCAGAGGGGCCACCCCUGAG
rnacentral:lncRNA from 1 species